UAAAAGAAAACUCACGUUGGCUAUUGCUUUUGGUAUGUUAUGGUAAAGUUGUGAAGUCAUGUCAAACAAUUCCCUAUGCUCAGACACUAAAACGAGUCUCUCGAC